ACUGUGAAACGAGGCUGCAAGUCAUCCCUCAGGAGUGUGCCUUGUCUUCCAAAGCUCUUAUUGUUUCAUUGAGUCAACAGAGCUUUCGUUAGCAAUGACCGUGUGCGAACUGAGCUGGGAUCUCAGGAAACGCAAAGCGGCAGGAAUGAUUGCCUCCUGCUGGUCUUCCCCCCGACAUGUCCCGUCAGCUGAUCUCCAGCCCACCAGCCUCCCUUUCUCCUUAGAAGAAAGGGGAGAUGGCAGCCCUCAGCGCCCCAAGUUAUAACAGUCCUGCUAAUAAGGUCCCAGGAGCUCAGCCUGGAAGUGACACAUAACACACAGCCCUUUAAGACGGUGGACCGUGUUUGUGGUGAUGAACAGCACAUGACGAUGGCUCUUGGCUGUUCGAAUGAUUCCAACAGGAAGCUGGUGGUUAGUCUGUUGUAAAAUCCAGGAGACCCAGAGGCUACCGUGGCGAUUUCAAGCUGGCAUAUGUAUAGGGGUACAGGUUACACACAGAUGGUAAUUGGAGUUAGAAGCAAAUAUUUUCAUUUUCAAAACAGCAGACACAGCACCAGGCCCCUAACGGCAGCAGCGUGUCACAUUACCGUGGGGGAGACUGGCGCUGGGUGGCAGGCCUCGUCAUCACCCGAGGAGGAGCCCUGGGCCCUGAAGGGAGCAUCUGGUAGGGCGCCCCACCCCCACCCUGGGCCACGAGCACAGAUGUGCUCUGCUGGCGGAGGCCCUGCUGGCUGAGACACACGUCUGGGAGGAAAACAGCAUCCAAAGGCUGAGCUCUGCCUUCAGCCACAGAUUACAGCCAGAAAGGGCGCCAGACAAACAUUGAGAAGAAAGCCCUCAUCCCCAGGAAGAUGUCUUAAGGAUGAUACAUCCUAUUUGUGUAUAUGAAGGAGAAGGAACAAAAUCUAGAUUGGAAUCCACAAACAUCCUGGUACCUUGGUAUCUGGCGCUCUGCCCCAGGGUCUUUACUUAAAGGAUUUUGCGUUAUCUCGCUCCCUCUCCAUUGUGCACAGCCCUCUCCUGCUUGUGUGCUCCAGGCUGAGCUGCGUGACUCCUGCCCUCAGGCCUCUGCCCAAGUUCUAAGCCCUCAGGAAGAGCGGAGGGAUCAAGGCUGCCUCUCUGAGGCUGUGAGAGUCUGGGGCUUCUGGGAGCCAAGCUUGAUGCACAUUGGAGCUUUGCUGAAAUCAUUUCCCGCUGACACGUUCAGGAUGCUUCUGCUGUCCUCUUCAUUCCCAAUGGAGCUAUUUCAGAAAGUUGAUUAACCUGACUGUGAUAUUUCCCUCCUUGGGAACUCAAGAUAGACUUGGAACUUGCCUUUUACUGACCCCACCCUGAGAAGGGAAGACAAAUCCUCCUCUGUUUUGGUUUUAUAGGCUCACUGUUUCUUCAGCUCACUUGAUAUUGCUAAUUUGCCUCUCUUCUUUUAGAUUUAUUAAUGUACAUAAUCAUUAAUUGCCUGUUUUGUGCAAAUUGCUAUGUUGACACUUGGAAGAACACAAAGAAGCAGAACAGCCAGUUUUUGACCUCAAGGAAUUUGCAAUAUUUGUGGGAUUAUAAAACCUGAAAUGAAAAUUGAUGCAACAUUUUAGACUAUGUCAAAUCCCAAAUGACUGGGGUGGUUGUAAAUGCCAUGAAACUUCAGAAGCAAGUAGUUCCCUCUCUGUCAUCUUUGCGUUUGGAGUUGACAGUAUGGGUCAGAAUCCUGCGUUCACAGAUGCACGCUGUGUGACCUUGGACAAGUCACCUGCCCUUCCUAAGCCUCAGUUUCUUCUCUCACAAAAAGGGAGAAAAUAGUAUAAACCUCUCAGGAGUUGAGCGGAUUAAAUAAUUUAAUGUGUAAAAAGUGUUUAGCUCCCUAUCUGGCACAUAAUGAGUGCUGAAUAAAAGCUGUUAUGAUUGUUAAACACCUGGCGAUUUUAUUCGCUCUUCAAUGUGGCGAGCACGCAAUGGGGGAAGGCUCAGGCAGGAGCUGUGCGGCCAGUAGGACGUCUGGUUUUCAGGCUUUUCUCUGCCGCCUGGUGCAAUGGGGCUGAGAUGAUGUGCAGACUCUGAGUCUGCUUCUCUUCCCACUCCCUCUGGUCUUUAAUCUCUAAAAUAAAUGCAGGGUCAAGGACCAGAGGCACAGCUGCCCCAAGGCUUCACCUAAUGAUAUGCCCCAGACCCUGGACAGCUGUUGAUAAGGACUGGUCGUGGGGGAGGGUCUGCAUUCUCAGCUGAGGAAGAAUGUUGCAUGAAACCAGCUCCAAGCCCUGCUUCCAAGGAGGGGGUGAAGCAAGAGAAGGGCCGAACAGGGACUCCUGAUCCUCGUUUAGCCUGCCGCCAUGUUGUAUUUCCUUUCCCAGACUUGGUGGGAAGCCUUGGACCACAGCCUUCGUUAGUGGUGAUGCCCCAGGAACAGGACCUGUGAGGACAGAGAUUUCACAUGCUGAUAAGUCUACAAGGGCCCCAGCCAAGACCUUAGAAGGAUAGCGGAAAAAUUGUUUUUUCCUCUCCUGCAGUAUCGACGUCACGAGACAUCUUCCAUUUAGAUGUUAAAUGUGAUCUGCAAGUCAACUUCUAGCCAGAGAUGAGGGGAUCCAAGGAUGAGAUGGAAACCCACAUAUACCUGUGUGUGUACGUGUGUGUGAGCACACGGAAUUACAUUAAUUUCUUAUGAAUAGCACAAUUAUAUUAUGUUGCAUUGGGGGGGAGGAUUAAAGGUAAAUACCAAAAUUUAAAUC
rnacentral:lncRNA from 1 species